rnacentral:lncRNA from 1 species
AGGAAAUCAGAGAAAGAGAGAAAGGAGAGGGCUCGGGAAGAGGGAAGAGAAAGAAGAGAGAAAGAGAGAAUGUUUGACAAGGGACAAUGGAGUUUCUCUCUAUCACCCAGGCUGGAGUGCAGUGGGGCGAUCUCGGCUCACUGCAACCUCCCCUUCCCGGGUUCGAAUGAUUCUUCCACCUCAGCCUCUCAAGUAGCUGGGAUUACAGGCACCCACCUUCAUGCCUGGCUAAUUUUUGUAUUUUUGUAGAGAUGGGGGUUUCACCAUCAUGG